CACUCAACAGGAAAGUGCCUCUUAGAUAAAGAAGUAAGAAGAGAUCCACACCAUUCAAUUCAUCAAAUCAGAUGGUCAUGCUUUCUCAAAUCUGUACCAUUUAAUUAAUAAUAUAGAUUGGACUUGAUAUGGUUCUCAAGAGUUAAGGCUAUUGUGGUAAAAUACAGUUUAUUAUAAUUUAGAAAACUUUAUCGAAUCCCGGAUCUCUCUCUCUCUUUUCAUUGAAGAUGAAUGUCAAUUUCUAUCUCUACGGAUUUUUGACAAUACCAAUUACAUUUGCGAUUGUCUUUUCAUAUUUGUUUGCGCCUCCGCUUUUGUUCUACUGGCUUCAGGAUGGAUUACCAAAGUAUUGAAGAUGCAGGUUCGACGAAUUGAAAUAUAAUGAUUAAUUGUGUAACAGUCGGUCGGAUUUCAAUUCUUGGUCGACGAUUUGGAAUAGAGGUUUUGUUCUUGAAGACACGGUGUGUGCUGAAAUCGAAUAGGCUGUUUGAUUAAGGUCUAUAGAAUAGGAUUUUCGGAUGGCUUCUGGAAAGGGAAAGGGAAAGCUUCGGAUGGUAUGAGUGUGUGUUCGAAAUAUUUCGCUUUUUGUUCGUAACUCUAAGACUAUUGGGUUCGUAACUUUGUCUGUGGAAGGCAAAAAAAAAAAGGACACUACACAUAUAUUUUUGUCAUUUUAGUAUUUUAAAUUAAUUAUCCUUUUCUUAAUAGAUACUAAUGUAUAGGAGAAGGCUCGCCGUCUAAUCCAUCAACAAAAAGGAACAAAUCAGGAGAAUCAUCCAUAUUGAACAUUGUGUAAGAUAUUUUGUUAUAUAUUCUGUAGAUUAGUGGUUAUGUUCUUAGCUUUAUUAACUAUGUUCGAAAAUAAUUGUAGGUUUAUUAAUUUUGUUAUUAUUUGAUGUGAGUUUUUAUGACUUGUAUUUUUUUUCUUAUGUUUAUAAAAAGAUACGAAGCUGCGACAUGGCUGAGGAACCUGAUCGGAGUAGUGGCGGCAAAAGAUUUUCCAGCCGAGCCUGCCGAGAAGGUGUCGAAGCUCGAUUAUGUUCAGAGAAUUGUGGAAUUGUCUGUGUAAUCUGAUUGGAUUUUUGAUACGAGUUUUUUGACUCCAGAUAUUCUAAUAAAUUGUACUCUCCAUUUUUGUUGUUUUUUUAUAAAUGACAACUUGAAAACUAACAGUAUAAA